UGGGGCGUGGUGCAAUGGCAGCACAACUGACUUUGAAUCAGUUGAUCCUGGUUCGAAUCCAGGCGCCCCAU
rnacentral:tRNA from 1 species